rnacentral:rRNA from 1 species
UGGGAUCGUUCGUCACGCGCCUUCUAGCUAUGUUGGAGGCCGGCAUACCGCUCAGUAGCACGUGGCUAACCUACCCUUGGGACGGAGACAUCCCCGGGAAACUGGGGCUAAUUUCCGAUAGGCGAAGCUCCCUGGAAUGGGUUUUCACUUAAAGGGCGCUUAGAUCAUGCUUCUAGGCGUUGCCCAAGGACGGGGCCGCGGCCGAUCAGGUUGUUGGUGAGGUAACGGCUCACCAAGCCUAUAACCGGUGCGGGCCGUGGGAGCGGAAGCCCGGAGAUGGGUACUGAGACAAGGGCCCAGGCCCUACGGGGCGCAGCGGUCGCGCAAACUUCACAAUAAGCGAAAGCUUGAUGGGGCCAUCCCGAGUGCCAUCCGCUGAGGAUGGCUUUUACCCAGUAUAGUUAGCUGGGGGAAUAAGGAGAGGGCAAGUCUGGUGUCAGCCGCCGCGGUAAUACCAGCUCUCCGAGUGGUGGGGAUGAUUAUUGGGCCUGAAGCAUCCGUAGCUUGCUGAACAAGUCCCCUGUUAAACCCAGCGAUUCAAUCGUUGGUCUGCGGGGGAUACUGCUCGGCUUGGGGGCGGGAGAGGCUGUCGGUAUUCUCGGGGUAGGGGUGAAAUCCUAUAAUCCCGGGAGGACCACCAGUGGCGAAGGCUGUCAGCUAGCACGCGCCCGACGGUGAGGGAUGAAAGCUGGGGGAGCGAACCGGAUUAGAUACCCGGGUAGUCCCAGCUGUAAACGAUGCAGGCUAGGUGUUUGGGCGGCUACGUGCCGCUCUAGUGCCGCAGGGAAACUGUUAAGCCUGCCGCCUGGGGAGUACGGCCCGCAAGGCUGAAACUUAAAG